ACUCACUAGUGGCGCAGCUAACGCUUUAAGCAUUCCGCCUGGGGAGUACGGUCGCAAGAUUAAAACUCAAAGGAAUUGACCGGGGGCCCGCACAAGCGGUGGAGCAUGUGGUUUAAUUCGACGCAACGCGCAGAACCUUACCGGCCCUUGACAUGUCUAUGACCGGCACCAGAGAUGGAGCCUUCCCUUCGGGGCAUAGAGCACAGGUGCUGCAUGGCUGUCGUCAGCUCGUGUCGUGAGAUGUUGGGUUAAGUCCCGCAACGAGCGCAACCCCCGUCCUUAGUUGCUACCAUUUAGUUGAGCACUCUAAGGAGACUGCCGGUGAUAAGCCGCGAGGAAGGUGGGGAUGACGUCAAGUCCUCAUGGCCCUUACGGGCUGGGCUACACACGUGCUACAAUGGCGGUGACAAUGGGAUGCAAAGGGGCGACCCCUCGCAAAUCUCAAAAAGCCGUCUCAGUUCGGAUUGGGCUCUGCAACUCGAGCCCAUGAAGUUGGAAUCGCUAGUAAUCGUGGAUCAGCAUGCCACGGUGAAUACGUUCCCGGGCCUUGUACACACCGCCCGUCACANCCAUGGGAGUUGGUUCUACCUGAAGGCAGUGCGCUAACCGCAAGGGGGCAGCUGACCACGGUAGGGUCAGCGACUGGGGUGAAGUCGUAANCAAGGUAUC
rnacentral:rRNA from 1 species